rnacentral:rRNA from 1 species
UGGGGAAUAUUGGACACUGGGCGAAAGCCUGAUCCAGCCAUGCCGCGUGUGUGAAGAAGGUCUUCGGAUUGUAAAGCACUUUAAGUUGGGAGGAAGGGCAGUAAGCGAAUACCUUGCUGUUUUGACGUUACCGACAGAAUAAGCACCGGCUAACUCUGUGCCAGCAGCCGCGGUAAUACAGAGGGUGCAAGCGUUAAUCGGAAUUACUGGGCGUAAAGCGCGCGUAGGUGGUUCGUUAAGUUGAAUGUGAAAGCCCCGGGCUCAACCUGGGAACUGCAUCCAAAACUGGCGAGCUAGAGUAGGGCAGAGGGUGGUGGAGUUUCCUGUGUAGCGGUGAAAUGCGUAGAUAGAGGAAGGAACACCAGUGGCGAAGGCGACCACCUGGGCUCAUACUGACACUGAGGUGCGAAAGCGUGGGGAGCAAACAGG